CUUCCGGGGCGGUAAGGGCAGCCACGUCAUCCCCCCGCUCCGCUCGCCAGCCGGGCAGUGGCUCGUGGGAGCCAAGAUGGCGGCGGCGGCGGCGGCAGCGACAGCAGCAGCAGCAGCAGCCAGUAUUCGGGAAAGACAGACAGUGGCUUUGAAGCGUAUGUUGAAUUUCAAUGUGCCUCAUAUUAAAAACAGCACGGGGGAACCAGUAUGGAAGGUACUCAUUUAUGACAGAUUUGGCCAAGAUAUAAUCUCUCCUCUGCUAUCUGUGAAGGAGCUAAGAGACAUGGGAAUCACUCUGCAUCUGCUUUUACACUCUGAUCGAGAUCCUAUUCCAGAUGUUCCUGCAGUAUACUUUGUAAUGCCAACUGAAGAAAAUAUUGACAGAAUGUGCCAGGAUCUUCGAAAUCAACUAUAUGAAUCAUAUUAUUUAAAUUUUAUUUCUGCUAUUUCAAGAAGUAAACUGGAAGAUAUUGCAAAUGCAGCGUUGGCAGCUAGUGCAGUAACACAAGUAGCCAAGGUUUUUGACCAAUAUCUCAAUUUUAUUACUUUGGAAGAUGAUAUGUUUGUAUUAUGUAAUCAAAAUAAGGAGCUUGUUUCAUAUCGUGCCAUUAACAGGCCAGAUAUCACAGACACGGAAAUGGAAACUGUUAUGGACACUAUAGUUGACAGCCUCUUCUGCUUUUUUGUUACCCUGGGUGCUGUUCCUAUAAUCAGAUGUUCAAGAGGAACAGCAGCAGAAAUGGUAGCAGUGAAACUAGACAAGAAACUUCGAGAAAAUCUAAGAGAUGCAAGAAACAGUCUUUUUACAGGUGAUACACUUGGAGCUGGCCAAUUCAGCUUCCAGAGGCCCUUAUUAGUCCUUGUUGACAGAAACAUAGAUUUGGCAACUCCUUUACAUCAUACUUGGACAUAUCAAGCAUUGGUGCAUGAUGUACUGGAUUUCCAUUUAAACAGGGUUAAUUUGGAAGAAUCUUCAGGAGUGGAAAACUCUCCAGCUGGUGCUAGACCAAAGAGAAAAAACAAGAAGUCCUAUGAUUUAACUCCAGUUGAUAAAUUUUGGCAAAAACAUAAAGGAAGUCCAUUCCCAGAAGUUGCAGAAUCAGUUCAGCAAGAACUAGAAUCUUACAGAGCACAGGAAGAUGAGGUCAAACGACUUAAAAGCAUUAUGGGACUAGAAGGGGAAGAUGAAGGAGCCAUAAGUAUGCUUUCUGACAAUACCGCUAAGCUAACAUCAGCUGUUAGUUCUUUGCCAGAACUCCUUGAGAAAAAAAGACUUAUUGAUCUCCACACAAAUGUUGCCACUGCUGUUUUAGAACAUAUAAAGGCAAGAAAAUUGGAUGUGUAUUUUGAAUAUGAAGAAAAAAUAAUGAGCAAAACUACUCUGGAUAAAUCUCUUCUAGAUAUAAUAUCAGACCCUGAUGCAGGAACUCCAGAAGAUAAAAUGAGGUUGUUUCUUAUCUAUUAUAUAAGCACACAGCAAGCACCUUCUGAGGCUGAUUUGGAGCAAUAUAAAAAAGCUUUAACUGAUGCAGGAUGCAACCUUAAUCCUUUACAAUAUAUCAAACAGUGGAAGGCUUUUACCAAGAUGGCCUCAGCUCCUGCCAGCUAUGGCAGCACUACCACUAAACCAAUGGGUCUCUUAUCACGAGUCAUGAAUACAGGAUCACAGUUUGUGAUGGAAGGAGUGAAGAACCUGGUUUUGAAACAGCAAAAUCUACCUGUUACUCGUAUUUUGGACAAUCUUAUGGAGAUGAAGUCAAACCCUGAAACUGAUGACUAUAGAUAUUUUGAUCCCAAAAUGCUGCGGGGCAAUGACAGCUUCUUCUUAUGAAACCCAGUUCACUACCUGGCUCUGCAAAAUUAAAGGACCCACCCCUCUAAGAAGGUGAAGGAGGUAGAAUUGUAAAUACUUACCUAAUAGUGCACGUGUGUGUAUUUCCCAUACCUAUUUUAUUCAUAAUAAAAGCCAUGGGUGAAAUUUUCAGUAUGGUUUUUCUUUAUUACAGCUCAGUUCCCAGAAAUAAAAAUCCAUUCCAAGAGGCCAUUGUUUUUGUGGUGGGGGGAGGCAACUACAUUGAAUAUCAGAAUCUUGUUGACUACAUAAAGGGGAAACAAGGCAAACACAUUUUAUAUGGCUGCAGUGAGCUUUUUAAUGCUACACAGUUCAUAAAACAGUUGUCACAACUUGGGCAAAAGUAACACAGAACCUUACUAUGAUCAUCUACUUGGAUAAUCCACUUGGAAUGUGGAUAAAUGUAAAAAGAAGAAAAGUUAGAAGAGCAGUAUGUUUCCUUCUCUGUAACAGUGUCCUAAUAGUGAAAAUCAGUUAUUUGUUAAUUUUUAAGGAAAUUCUAUACUUAAUAUGUAUUGAUUAAAAGAAUAAAACAUUUCAGAAAUAAAAUGUCAACAUUGUUCAUUUUCUCUGAUAAAUGAGAAAGUACUUUGGAAGUAAGGCAAGCUCCAUCUGAGUAUAAUAUUAAAAUACUAAUAUAAUAACUAAUAGGUUAUGAUUGAAGCUGGUGACAUUUUAAGGUUAUCAUAUUCAAAUUUUAUUUGAUUGGUUCAUGAGUCCCCUACUUGUAUACAUUUUAAUUAUACAACUACUUUCUCAUAGUUUGUUGGGUAUCCAUGUUGCCUCUAGAUUUUAGAUGGAGAUUUUAAGCCACUUUAAGUUCUCUUCUUCUGUCACACCUAUGUAUAUUUUAUCACAUAAAGUCCCUCCUUCAUAUAAUGGUGAUCAAGGCAAUACUAACAUGAUUUGGAAUGGACAAAUACAAAACAUUCAUCUCAUGAAGUUGUAAAUAGUACGUAAGAGUUAGUGUUAAACUUGAUUCCAAGCUUCUUUGGUAUGCAGUACUUACGACAAGAAGUAUUGAUCAGUCAUACCGUUCAGCACAUCCAUAAGAUAAAAAGCAAGCCAAUUGCUUGAAAGGGAAGAAAAAUAAACAUUUCCUAUUAUAAAGGCCAGGGAGCUUUCCCUCCUAAUGAGCCUCAUAUCAGCAGGAAUCUAUAAUGUUACAGACAAUACACUGACAAUACAUACAAGAUUCACAGGUCAAGAAAAAUAAUUCUAGAUAGGUAAGGGUCUGUUAAUCUGACUGACUUAUUCCUGAGACAAAAGUGUGUGGUGGAAUGGAAGGACUGAGAAUACAUCAGGCAGUUUUUGUAAGUAACAUAAGUAACGUUUAUCCUAUGCAGCCAGCUAGUUAAAGUCAUAUGCCUAAAAAAGGAUCAUAGAAAGAACACAAUCCCCAAACAGUCUACCUCACUGGGGUAUGAGCUGAAAGAAAGAAUCUCCUGUCAGAGUCCAGAUUAUAUUUUUUUAACUUAAUACAGACACAAGUAAUCAGGGUACUAAAGUUUGAUGACACCAGUAAUUAUAGCCUAGAAAAAAAUGUUAUAGCAAAUGUAAUCAAAUACUAACCUUGGCUGUUAAAAAAAAAA